CAGUAGCCGCGGUAAUACGUAGGGUGCGAGCGUUAAUCGGAAUUACUGGGCGUAAAGCGUGCGCAGGCGGCUAUGCAAGACAGAUGUGAAAUCCCCGGGCUCAACCCGAAGCCUGCAUGAGAAACUACCGGGCUUGAGUAUGGGAGAGGUGAGUGGAAUUUCCGGUGUAGCGGUGAAAUGCGUAGAUAUCGGAAGGAACACCUGUGGCGAAGGCGACUAUCUGGGCCAACACUGACACUGAGGCACGAAAGCGUGGGGAGCAAACAGGAUUAGAUACCCGCGUAGUCCCUGUCUCUUAUAC
rnacentral:rRNA from 1 species